GAUUUAGGCUUCGUAGGUGACCUGCGGAGGAUCAUUA
rnacentral:rRNA from 1 species